AGGAGACUCCCUUUAUGGUAAGAAGGGCUGAGCUGUAAACUCAGUAGUUUAAAGCGGCUUUAAGAGUUCGAAUCUCUUGUCUCCUA
rnacentral:tRNA from 1 species